GGAAAAACAGUCCGUGAAAGGCUGAGCUGACAGGAACGAGAAGGAGAAGUGAGCAAUCUAAACUUAGGUGGAGUUAAAAAUAGUUGCUAACCAUAGCUUAACUGACUUAUUCUCAGAGCACUGAAAAUGAACCGUGCCCACUAAGUAUGGGAGAACGCUCAUGUCUCCUUAAUGCAGGCUCAUGCUCUACCUUUUUUCAUUUUUAAUACAGAAAAGAUCAGGCAAAGAUAUGCAGACCUGCCUGGAGAAUUGCACAUCAUCGAACUGGAAAAGGAUAAGAAUGGACUGGGACUCAGUCUCGCUGGCAACAAGGACCGGUCACGGAUGAGCAUAUUUGUGGUGGGGAUUAACCCAGAUGGACCUGCUGCUGC
rnacentral:lncRNA from 1 species